UCUGAAUGUGUUAAUUAGGUAGGAAGGAUGGCAAAACUACACAGGGACAGAGAUUCGCAGAAAUCAAGAAGUUCUGUGGCUUCUUCUCCGUGAAUUCAGCCAACUCAAUUUCCAGCAUCUCUGAUAUUUUGCUUUGAUUUAUCCCAGAGUCUACGCCCCGGGAGUCCGGAACCAGUGGACGUGCAAGAUCCCACAACACCAUUUGGAAGAAGAGCAGAGGAGUUCUCCUUUAUGUCCUGAGUCUAGGGAGGAAGAGGAGUAUGCAGGGUGGAACAUAUUGCAGUUUGUGACUUCAGU